UACGAAGGGGGCUAGCGUUGCUCGGAAUCACUGGGCGUAAAGGGUGCGUAGGCGGGUUUUUAAGUCAGGGGUGAAAUCCUGGAGCUCAACUCCAGAACUGCCUUUGAUACUGAAGAUCUUGAGUCCGGAAGAGGUGAGUGGAAUUCCGAGUGUAGAGGUGAAAUUCGUAGAUAUUCGGAGGAACACCAGUGGCGAAGGCGGCUCACUGGUCCAUUACUGACGCUGAGGUGCGAAAGCGUGGGGAGCAAACAGG
rnacentral:rRNA from 1 species